rfam:Mycobacterium sp. TBL 1200985 NODE_52_length_21525_cov_37.2892, whole genome shotgun sequence.
CUUGACCGAACCCAACCACAACGGGCGAUCGGCAGACCGACCCUGCCCAUAAGUGGCCAACAGCGCUUGGGCCUC